rnacentral:tRNA from 2 species
GGAGAGAUACCCAAGUGGCUAUAAGGGGCUCCUCUGCUAAGGGAGUAGACGUGUCAUGCGUGCGAGGGUUCGAAUCCCUCUCUCUCCGCCA